AAAAAGUUUUAUUUUGGCUUAAAAAAUUAAGUUAUCUACUAUUUAUAUGUAAAUUUACGUGUAUUAGAAUAAAUUUUAAAAAUUAUUUAAUUAAUAGCAGUAUGUAAAUUUAAAAAUUUACGAAAGUAAGAUUUAGAGAUAGAUAAGAGUUUAAACUAAUUUUGUGCCAGCAGUAGCGGUUAUACAAAAUAUGCAAUUAUUUUUUAUUAAUUUAUAGUUUAUUGAUUAAAGAUUUUUAAAUAAAUAUAAUUAUUAAGUGAAAUUUUAUUUUAUUUAUAAUAAUAAUUUAAAUAUUUGAAGCUAUGAAGUUUUUUUUAUUAUUAAACUAGGAUUAGAUACCCUAUUAUUAAAGUAUGUUAAAUUUUAAUUAAAUUAGUAUUAGAUAUGAUCUCUAAAGUUUAAAAAUUUGGCGGUAUUUUAGUCUUUUCAGAGGAACCUGUUCUUUAAUCGAUAGUCCACGAUAAAUUGAACUUAUAUUUUUUUUAGUUUGUAUAUCGUUGUAGUUGAGUAUUUUUUUAGAAUUAUAAUAUUCAAAAUUAAUUAUUAUUAAAUAAAUCAGAUCAAGGUGCAGCUUAUAAAUAAGGAUGAAAUGGGUUACAAUAAAUAGUAUUUAUAAUGAAUUUGUGAUUGAAAUAAACAAUGAAGGUGGAUUUGUAAGUAAUGAAAAAUUUUUUUUAUUAUGAUUUAAGCUCUAAGAUAUGCACAUAUUGCCCGUCGCUUUCAAUCAAGUUGGAAUAAGUCGUAACAAAGUAGAUGUACUGGAAGGUGUUUCUGGAAUCAA
rnacentral:ncRNA from 1 species